ACUCCUACGGGAGGCAGCAGUAGGGAAUCUUCCGCAAUGGACGCAAGUCUGACGGAGCAACGCCGCGUGAGUGAAGAAGGUUUUCGGAUCGUAAAACUCUGUUGUCAGUGAAGAACAAGCGGGACAGGAACUGGUCCCGCCGUGACGGUAGCUGACCAGAAAGCCACGGCUAACUACGUGCCAGCAGCCGCGGUAAUACGUAGGUGGCAAGCGUUGUCCGGAUUUAUUGGGCGUAAAGCGAGCGCAGGCGGUCCCUUAAGUCUGAUGUGAAAGCCCACGGCUCAACCGUGGAAGGUCAUUGGAAACUGGGGACUUGAGGGCAGAAGAGGAGAGUGGAAUUCCAUGUGUAGCGGUGAAAUGCGUAGAUAUAUGGAGGAACACCAGUGGCGAAGGCGACUCUCUGGUCUGUCACUGACGCUGAGGCUCGAAAGCGUGGGGAGCAAACAGGAUUAGAUACCCUGGUAGCGAGU
rnacentral:rRNA from 1 species